UGAAAAUUAUUUAUAAUAAUACAAUGUAUUAUUAUGCCCCCAUUUCGAAAAAAAGGGGGUAUAUUGCUUUGCACUUGUCGGUCCGUAGACCAAAUGGUUUCCAAGUGAUAACUAAAGAACCUUAGGCCUAGGAACUUCAAACUUGGUAUGGUGAUUGGUCAUGACCAGUAGAUGACCCCUAUUGAUUUUGGGUCAAAGGUCAAGGUCACAUUGACCUUGUAAGCAAAAACGGUUUCCGAUCAAUAACUAAAGAACCUUAAGGCCUAGGAACUUCAAACUUGGUAUGGUGAUUGGUCAUGAUCAGUAGAUGACCCCUAUUGAUUUUGGGGUCAAAGGUCAAGGUCACAUUGACCUCUUGGGUAAAAACGGUUUCCGAUCAAUAACAAAAGAACCCUUAGGCCUAGGAACUUCAAACUUGGUAUGGUGAUUGGUUAUGACCAGCAGAUGACCCCUAUUGAUUUGGGGAUUAAGGGGUCAAAGGUCAAGGUCACAUUGACAUUGUAGGUAAAAAUGGUUUCCGAUCAAUAACUAAAGAACCCUUAGGCCUAGGAACUUCAAACUUGGUAUGGUGAUUGGUCAUGACCAGCAGAUGACCCCUAUUGAUUUUGGGGUUAAGGGGUCAAAGGGCAAGGUCACAUUGACCUUGUAGGUAAAAAUGCUUUCCGAUCAAUAACUUAAGAACCCUUAGGCCUAGGAACUUCAAACUUGGUAUGGUGAUUGGUCAUGACCAGCAGAUGACCUAUUGAUUUUGGGGUCAAGGGGUCACAUUGACCUUGUAGGUAAAAACGGUUUCUGAUCAAU